rnacentral:rRNA from 1 species
UUAUGUCCUGGGCUGCACACGUGCUACAAUGGUCGGUACAAUGGGCUGCGAUGCCGCGAGGCGGAGCGAAUCCCAUAAAACCGGCCCAGUUCGGAUCGAAGGCUGCAACUCGCCUUCGUGAAGUCGGAGUUGCUAGUAAUCGCGGAUCAGCAUGCCGCGGUGAAUACGUUCCCGGGCCUU